rnacentral:lncRNA from 1 species
GGUCUAAGGGGCACUUAUGCCUAUAUGCUUUAUGAGCUACUUUUGAUAGCAGAGCACUCAGCAGAUGAGUCACUUAUUUAGUGAUGAAUACUCCUACUUCUCACUUGUAUGCCAUACCAGUGUCUCUAUACUCUUUGGUUAAGAAGACAACCAAUCUAUAUGGCACACAAUGACCUUCACUCGAUAAACAUCAUCAUCCUUUAAUGACGUAUCAUUU